GUUAGACGAACAGCCUGGAAAGGCCGACGAUACAGGGUGAUAGUCCCGUAGUUGACGACGUGUGUUCAGUGAAAUCGAGUAGGGCGGGACACGUGAUAUCCUGUCUGAAUAUGGGGGGACCAUCCUCCAAGGCUAAAUACUACUGACUGACCGAUAGUGAACCAGUACCGUGAGGGAAAGGCGAAAAGAACCCCUGUGAGGGGAGUGAAAUAGAACCUGAAACCGUGUACGUACAAGCAGUAGGAGCAGGCUUUGUCCUGUGACUGCGUACCUUUUGUAUAAUGGGUCAGCGACUUAUAUUCAGUGGCAAGGUUAACCAUCUAGGGGAGCCGUAGGGAAACCGAGUCUUAACUGGGCGUUCAGUCUCUGGAUAUAGACCCGAAACCAGGUGAUCUAGCCAUGGGCAGGUUGAAGGUUGAGUAACAUCAACUGGAGGACCGAACCGACUAAUGUUGAAAAAUUAGCGGAUGACUUGUGGCUAGGGGUGAAAGGCCAAUCAAACCUGGAGAUAGCUGGUUCUCCCCGAAAGCUAUUUAGGUAGCGCCUCGGACGAAUACUACUGGGGGUAGAGCACUGUUAAGGCUAGGGGGUCAUCCCGACUUACCAACCCUUUGCAAACUCCGAAUACCAGUAAGUACUAUCCGGGAGACACACGGCGGGUGCUAACGUCCGUCGUGGAGAGGGAAACAACCCAGACCGCCAGCUAAGGUCCCAAAUUACUACUAAGUGGGAAACGAUGUGGGAAGGCUCAGACAGCCAGGAUGUUGGCUUAGAAGCAGCCAUCAUUUAAAGAAAGCGUAAUAGCUCACUGGUCGAGUCGGCCUGCGCGGAAGAUGUAACGGGGCUAAGUAGUAAACCGAAGCUGCGGCAAUAUACUUUUGUAUAUUGGGUAGGGGAGCGUUCUGUAAGCGGUUGAAGGUGUGUGGUAACGCAUGCUGGACGUAUCAGAAGUGCGAAUGCUGACAUGAGUAACGAUA
rnacentral:rRNA from 1 species